GACACAACUUUUUUCAUGUUGCAGAGAUGGUUUAAAGUUGGAAACUGAACUGCUGGAUGGAAAAACCAAGAUAAUAAUAUCUCCAUAUGAUGGGAAAUAAGAGCAAGAUUACAAAAUGUCCUUUAAGAACAAAGCACACUGGACACCUUCUAAAGUUAACACAAAAUUCUUAUAUUGGGAAUGAAAAACUUUUGCAAAAGAAGUCAGUUGGUUCAGAAACUUCACAGUCAAAAAGUGAAAAGAAUAGAAUGACAGUUACACCCACUAAGGAUUUCUAUAAGCAGUAUGAAGAUAAAGUCUGUCUUCAUGUCCAAACAGAAGUAUCAUCUUUAACCCCUAAAGAAGACUUGAAACACCAUAAAUCCAUCUUUAGUAAUUAAAGAGAAACCUCAUAAAAAACACAACAUAACUGCAAACAUGAGUAGCAGUUUGGUGUGUCUAACACAAGACCAACUACAACAGAUUUUGAUGAGUAUAAACCAAGGAAAUGGAUCUGUUUCUCUGACUAACAGUGAAAAUGAUGAGAAAACAA